rnacentral:miRNA from 1 species
ACGUUUGAAUGCUGUACAAGGC